GAUGAACGCUGGCGGCGUGCCUAAUACAUGCAAGUCGAGCGAACAGACGAGGAGCUUGCUCCUCUGAUGUUAGCGGCGGACGGGUCAGUAACACGUGGAUAACCUACCUAUAAGACUGGGAUAACUUCGGGAAACCGGAGCUAAUACCGGAUAACAUGUUGAACCGCAUGGUUCAACAGUGAAAGACGGUCUUGCUGUCACUUAUAGAUGGAUCCGCGCCGCAUUAGCUAGUUGGUAAGGUAACGGCUUACCAAGGCAACGAUGCGUAGCCGACCUGAGAGGGUGAUCGGCCACACUGGAACUGAGACACGGUCCAGACUCCUACGGGAGGCAGCAGUAGGGAAUCUUCCGCAAUGGGCGAAAGCCUGACGGAGCAACGCCGCGUGAGUGAAGAAGGUCUUCGGAUCGUAAAACUCUGUUAUUAGGGAAGAACAAAUGUGUAAGUAACUAUGCACGUCUUGACGGUACCUAAUCAGAAAGCCACGGCUAACUACGUG
rnacentral:rRNA from 1 species